CUGCAGUUAUUGUUUUUCUCUUUUUCAUGAGCUAUGUGUUAACUAACUUUGACUUCCUCUCCCAUUCUUCUAGAGUGAAGACCACUUCUGGGCAAAAUUGUAAAGCAGAGGAAGGGAAGAAAAUGGAAGAAGCAAGAAGCAAGGAUUGAGAAGAACUGCCAUGUGCCAGAUCAGCCCCCCUUGAAGUAAGAAAUGUCAUCAGGGUACUAAGAGAUAAAUAAGAAUGGAAACUUCUAGAAGAAAGAAAUCCACUAAGAAUCACAAGAACAGGAAAAUGAACAUCCUUCCAUUAGAAUCGCAGUCCGAAGACGACACUUCAGCAACUGUUACUGCAUUUGGCUUUGACCGGGUCAAAGGAAUUGAGCCCAUCCUCUCCUGCCUGACAAGUACCAUAUUAUCUGAAGCCCCAAAUACCCAGUGCUGA
rnacentral:lncRNA from 1 species